UAGACCCAGAGCUCAUCCUCCUAAGUAGGAAAUACCUGUUGGCAGACGCCUUUGGCCCACGUGGGGUCAGGAAGUGGGGUGCCCUGGUCUACAGUUCUUCAGCAGCCACUAUACCUGUGGCUCCCCAUCUGUCCCGAGGGCAUCAUCGGUAAUCUCGCACUUACCUACCCUGGCAGCCAGGCAGUGAAACCAAAGAAGCUACCAGAAAUCAGCAAUCCCAUCUUUACCAUGCAUCUUCUGGAGGAGAAGAGAGGAAAUAUUUGGUAGUUUUUGUGCAAGUUCUGGGAUCAGUGCUCUCCUUUGCCCAAGCUCAAUCAUGGGACCAUCCCUGACCAGGAUCCCAUCCAGGAUACCACGUUUCGAUUAGUCAUCAAGUCUCCUGAGGCUCCUCUGGGUGGGAACAGUUUCACAGAUUUUUCUUGGUUUCCAUGACCUUGAUGGUUUUGAAGAGCACUGGUCAAGUAUUUUGG